CUCUCCCCCCGCCCGACUUUUGCAGUUCCGCCGGCCCAUCUUCUCCCUGCAACAGCUGCACCACCUGUACCCAUAACAUGCCACAGGUUGUUUCUUGGAAUGAUCAUCUGAAAACAAACCAAGAAAAGAAGCUUCCUUUGUCUGGACAUCCAUCCAGUUGAGUUCCUAGUAGUGAAUGGGAACGGUGAAAACACAAAGUGUCGGUGCUUUUGGAAAGGACAAGAAGACGGGUCUGGAGAUAUUGUUGUUGAAAUUGAACUUCCUGGCCACAUAUUGCAGAUUCUAUUGCUGACGCUCUUGUGGUCCAUAAUAGCACAUUCAGGUCAAUGGGAUAAAAUGUAAAGAUCGGAAAGAGAGAAGAUACCCGGGUCAUGUUUGGACGCAUUGUGGCUAUAUGAUGUAUGCAUAUUGACGCCGUUAACAUCACCCGUUUCAUCUCCAUGGAGUCAAAGUUAUCUCCUAGCCGAGUAUCCACUAUUUCCCUCACACUGUUCUUCUCCAGAAGAGGGAGAGAAUUCAGAUCAUACCCAUAUCACGAGGCUUUGCCUGCUUGCUGUAUCGACAGCACGCCGACCAGUUAUGAUCUCCAGAAGCAGCACCCC